AUCUACGGCCAUAACCACCCUGAACACACCUGAUCUCAGAAGCUAAGCAGGGUCGAGCCUGGUUAGUACUUGGAUGGGAGUCCACCUCGGAAUGCCAGGUACUGUAUGCU
ensembl:rRNA 5S_rRNA 5S ribosomal RNA